UACUCACAUAAUUUUAACUUGGAGUGAGAAAGUGACAGAUGGCUACAAAAUGAGAAGGAUAUAAUCAAGAAGAAACUGCUUUCUUGAGAUACAGGUUCUUAGACAGAAUUGCUGAGGCAGAAUAUAAGAGGAAGAUACUCUCUGCUAACCCUGGAUGCAUGAAGCAAUUAAAAUAUCAUGAUCAAAAAGUACAGAGCUUUUGGAUUACCAUGCACCCAGUGAAGGAUCCAUCUUCUGCUCUUGGAAACAUGACUAAAACCAUGACAUCCUCCAAAA